UACGACGGCCGGACUCAGAGAUACGACGGCGUAUCAGGAGAUACGCCGUCGUAUCUCUUUUCUGAAUCCGGCCCCUGGAGUCAGAGAAGGGAGUUGGGAGUUCAAUUGGAGUUGUAGCUGUGAAUGAGAGCGAAUGUGGGCAGGUUGGUGGCCAACCAUAUGAUGUACGAUUGGGCUUGACAGACCUGGAGCCUCCAUGUCUGACAAUCAAAUAUGGAGGGUGGGAGGGACAGACCAGGAUUAUGGGAUGUCUAGGUCCUCCCACUAGGAGCCACCUUUCUUACAACAAGUGGUGCUGGCUUCGGGAAGUGUGAAAGAGUGUAACAGGCACUCUCGGCUUAUUAUUAAUAGUCUGAAACCCGAAUGCAUGAUUCCAAAACCGUACUGUCCAGGUGAAUCCCGGACAGGUGGCAACCGUACUUGGGGGGGGGGGGAUGCAUUUUGAAGACUAGUUAAGCUUUAGCUGGAAUUUUACAUUAACAGAUAUUAUCAGGAGGACAAAAAAUGCCAAGUUUAUAAGGAUCUCCAUCACGUGGCGGUCCAAGCACACGUCUCUGGACUUACCGAUGCUUCCACUACUCAGCCAAGUGUUCAUCGGAUCAUUCAAAUGUAUCAUUGACAAUCAUUCAAUAAUUCUUUCCAGAAUGUCUCAUUUCUUUAUCCUACAAAUGCUGGAUUUGUGCUGCGGGGUUAAUGGGGGGAGGGGGGGGAUUUGCCAGUUGAACAUUUUUCUUUCCAAAAGUCACCACAUUUAUCAUUUAUCAUCCAAUUAAAAUAAUAAAACUUGAGUGACGCUGUUUAUCUUGUGAGCCACGCCACUUUCCAACAAUCAUGAAAUAAAAGAGAAAAAUUGUUCGAUUGUUUAUAAUUUAUAUUGCAUAUUAAUGUAAUUUAUUUCUGUGUAGCCAUUUUAUGGUUUUAAUUUGGCAGUUUCUUGAAUAAAACAGUUAAUCAAUCAUUGAA